AUUGAACGCUGGCGGCAUGCCUUACACAUGCAAGUCGAACGGCAGCACGGGGCAACCUGGUGGCGAGUGGCGAACGGGUGAGUAAUGCAUCGGAACGUACCUUUCAGUGGGGGAUAACGUGGCGAAAGUUACGCUAAUACCGCAUAUUCUGUGAGCAGGAAAGCAGGGGAUCGCAAGACCUUGCGCUGAUUGAGCGGCCGAUAUCAGAUUAGCUAGUUGGUGAGGUAAAGGCUCACCAAGGCGACGAUCUGUAGCGGGUCUGAGAGGAUGAUCCGCCACACUGGAACUGAGACACGGUCCAGACUCCUACGGGAGGCAGCAGUGGGGAAUUUUGGACAAUGGGGGCAACCCUGAUCCAGCCAUGCCGCGUGAGUGAAGAAGGCCUUCGGGUUGUAAAGCUCUUUCGGCCGGGAAGAAAUCGCUUAGGUUAAUACCCUGAGUGGAUGACGGUACCGGAAUAAGAAGCACCGGCUAACUACGUGCCAGCAGCCGCGGUAA
rnacentral:rRNA from 1 species